rnacentral:rRNA from 1 species
GACGAACGCUGGCGGCGCGCCUAACACAUGCAAGUCGAACGAGCGAGAGAGAGCUUGCUUUCUUGAGCGAGUGGCGAACGGGUGAGUAACGCGUGAGGAACCUGCCUCAAAGAGGGGGACAACAGUUGGAAACGACUGCUAAUACCGCAUAAGCCCACAGCUCGGCAUCGAGCAGAGGGAAAAGGAGCAAUCCGCUUUGAGAUGGCCUCGCGUCCGAUUAGCUAGUUGGUGAGGUAAUGGCCCACCAAGGCGACGAUCGGUAGCCGGACUGAGAGGUUGAACGGCCACAUUGGGACUGAGACACGGCCCAGACUCCUACGGGAGGCAGCAGUGGGGAAUAUUGCACAAUGGGGGAAACCCUGAUGCAGCGACGCCGCGUGGAGGAAGAAGGUCUUCGGAUUGUAAACUCCUGUUGUUGAGGAAGAUAAUGACGGUACUCAACAAGGAAGUGACGGCUAACUACGUGCCAGCAGCCGCGGUAAAACGUAGGUCACAAGCGUUGUCCGGAAUUACUGGGUGUAAAGGGAGCGCAGGCGGGAAGGCAAGUUGGAAGUGAAAUCCAUGGGCUCAACCCAUGAACUGCUUUCAAAACUGUUUUUCUUGAGUAGUGCAGAGGUAGGCGGAAUUCCCGGUGUAGCGGUGGAAUGCGUAGAUAUCGGGAGGAACACCAGUGGCGAAGGCGGCCUACUGGGCACCAACUGACGCUGAGGCUCGAAAGUGUGGGUAGCAAACAGGAUUAGAUACCCUGGUAGUCCACACUGUAAACGAUGAUUACUAGGUGUUGGAGGAUUGACCCCUUCAGUGCCGCAGUUAACACAAUAAGUAAUCCACCUGGGGAGUACGACCGCAAGGUUGAAACUCAAAGGAAUUGACGGGGGCCCGCACAAGCAGUGGAGUAUGUGGUUUAAUUCGACGCAACGCGAAGAACCUUACCAAGUCUUGACAUCCUGCGACGGUGCUGGAAACAGUACUUUCCUUCGGGACGCAGAGACAGGUGGUGCAUGGUUGUCGUCAGCUCGUGUCGUGAGAUGUUGGGUUAAGUCCCGCAACGAGCGCAACCCUUAUGGUCAGUUACUACGCAAGAGGACUUUGGCCAGACUGCCGUUGACAAAACGGAGGAAGGUGGGGAUGACGUCAAAUCAUCAUGCCCUUUAUGACUUGGGCUACACACGUACUACAAUGGCGUUAAACAAAGAGAAGCAAGACCGCGAGGUGGAGCAAAACUCAGAAACAACGUCCCAGUUCGGACUGCAGGCUGCAACUCGCCUGCACGAAGUCGGAAUUGCUAGUAAUCGCAGAUCAGCAUGCUGCGGUGAAUACGUUUCCCGGGCCU